rnacentral:rRNA from 1 species
AUUGAACGCUGGCGGCAUGCCUUACACAUGCAAGUCGAACGGUAACAGGUCUUCGGAUGCUGACGAGUGGCGAACGGGUGAGUAAUACAUCGGAGCGUGCCCGAUCGUGGGGGAUAACGGAGCGAAAGCUUUGCUAAUACCGCAUACGAUCUACGGACGAAAGCAGGGGACCGCAAGGCCUUGCGCGGACGGAGCGGCCGAUGGCAGAUUAGGUAGUUGGGGGGAUAAAAGCUUACCAAGCCGACGAUCUGUAGCUGGUCUGAGAGGACGACCAGCCACACUGGGACUGGGACACGGCCCAGACUCCUACGGGAGGAAGCAGUGGGGAAUUUUGGAAAAUGGGCGAAAGCCUGAUCCAGCCAUGCCGCGUGCAGGAUGAAGGCCUUCGGGUUGUAAACUGCUUUUGUACGGAACGAAAAGCCUCUUUCUAAUAAAGAGAGGUCAUGACGGUACCGUAAGAAUAAGCACCGGCUAACUACGUGCCAGCCGCCGCCGUAACAC